rnacentral:misc_RNA from 1 species
GGUUGAGGUUGCCGGCGCCGACCCAGGUUGAGG